AGGUCAUUACCAAGGCUUUUAGAAUGUGGUUUCUCAUUUGCUGUGGACAUGACCUUAAAAAAUGCCCACUAGGUUUGUUCUCUGCUACAUUGGUAGCAUUCAGCCUUGUGGGAACAUCU
ensembl:snoRNA